GUGAUCCUACGGGGGGCAGCAGUGGGGGAUAUUGCACAAUGGGGGAAACCCUGAUGCAGCGACGCCGCGUGAGCGAUGAAGUAUUUCGGUAUGUAAAGCUCUAUCAGCAGAGAAGAAAAUGACGGUACCUGACUAAGAAGCCCCGGCUAACUGCGUGCCAGCAGCCGCGGUAAUACGUAGGAGGCAAGCGUUAUCCGGAUUUACUGGGUGUAAAGGGAGCGUAGACGGCAGUGCAAGUCUGAAGUGAAAGGCAAGGGCUCAACCCUUGGACUGCUUUGGAAACUGUGCUGCUGGAGUGUCGGGGA
rnacentral:rRNA from 1 species